rnacentral:rRNA from 1 species
UCCCACCCUGGUAACGCCCGAUCUCGUCUGAUCUCGGAAGCUAAGCAGGGUCGGGCCUGGUUAGUACUUGGAUGGGAGACCUCCUGGGAAUACCGGGUGUCGUAGGCG